rnacentral:lncRNA from 1 species
AUGCUUUGUAGACUGGUUACUGAAUAUUUAUAUGUAGGUCAAAAUACGUUGGCUACAAUACUUACUACAGGGUUCUUUGAAACAGAGAGAUGGGGAAGUCAUGAAUUUUUCUUUUACUUGCUUGCAGUAGACUGCAAGGACCCCAGGAAAAUGAUUAUAUAUUCACAUCAUAACAUCUUAGAAGUGCAUGGAAAAUAUUGUGCUGAAGAUACACCAGCUUACUACAAGGGUCUUACGUCAUGUCUUCAACAGAGUUCCCACAAACAAGGGUCAAACUGUGUGUUGCAAGGUGGUCCUUGUGCUUUGCUUGGUCCAUUUGCUAUGGAUGAGAUCAUAGGCCUCAGGACAAUAAUUUCUUUCCCCUUCGUGCUGGAAGCUUCAGGAGACAGGUUUCUUGAAUGCAAGACAAACAAAACAGGGUUUUAUUGGUAUGUGAUUUUUUUUUUCUUGCAUGUUUGAGGAGAUGUUGCACAGCAUCUGUGCAUAAAUAAUCAAAUAGCCUUAUUUUAUAUUGAAUUCAUCAUGCAGCUCUCUCUACUGGUAAAGGAUACCAUAUAGGCAUUGGUGCAUAAUUAAACUAUCUAAAAUUAGUCUAAAACUGUUUUAUUUCAUUACUAAUAUAUGUCUAGUCAAACAAAUUGCAAAACUGGACUGAGUUCUAUCCUAAAUGUGAAUCUCUGCCUCUUUCAAAAAACACGUCUCUCUUUCAAAAGUGUAACACUGCCUGUGACGCAGGAGUUGCCAUGGAAAAAUACAUUGAGCCAAUCAUUCAUGAUUUAUUUAUAGCAAUUAGAAUGCACAUCUCAAGAUCCAAUAGUAACUUUGAUUUAGGAAAAAAAAAUCAGACAAAGGAUUGAAGCAGAUAAAUUUUUGAGAACGUCUGAGGGUCUGUAUGGUCAAUAUAUUAUUUAAAUGAACGACUAUGUAUGUUUCUGGACAGAUACUUGAAGUAUCAACGCUGAUGGUAUUUGCUUCUAUAUUUCUGCUGCAGAUAAUGUUAUUACUGCCACUGUAUACUUACCAUCUGUUCAGUGACUAUAGUGGGCAUAGUAAAUAUCAAUUGAAAGUGAGAUUUUUCUUUUAAUCAUCUUUUUUUUUCAGAACUGUGCAAAAGUGAAUGCAUUGGAGAAAUCUGUACACCUGCAUCUUUCUGGGAAUGUGGUGUCUAGGGUGUUAGUGCUGGGUGCACUUGCCUGUGGAGCUUAAAUUACAUCAGGCAGUGAGUGAAUUUCUUCAGUUUUAUGGCAUUAAAUCGCAUUCAGGCAGAAAUCUUUUAUUUAUUUUGAUUAGCAUUAACUGUAUUUCAGUCUUUGAUCUCGUGUAGGUAACUGCUGAAGCAACAGAACCUUUGUUCUGUAUCCCAUGUGCACUUCAUCUUUUGGGCAAUAAUGAAAAUCAAGCAAGCAAAUAUACAGGUCUUCAGUUUAAAUAUUAAUAUUUAUUGGUUUAAUGGGUGGGU